rnacentral:rRNA from 1 species
GACGUAGGGCGCGAGCGUUGUCCGGAUUUAUUGGGCGUAAAGAGCUCGUAGGCGGCUUGUCGCGUCGACUGUGAAAACCCGAGGCUCAACUUCGGGCUUGCAGUCGAUACGGGCAGGCUAGAGUUCGGUAGGGGAGACUGGAAUUCCUGGUGUAGCGGUGAAAUGCGCAGAUAUCAGGAGGAACACCGAUGGCGAAGGCAGGUCUCUGGGCCGAUACUGACGCUGAGGAGCGAAAGCGUGGGAAACGAACAGG